rnacentral:lncRNA from 1 species
CGCAUACGGUUGAUACAGGGACUGAAUCGAGGAUGCAACUAGUGAAACUGUGGGAAGGGUCUGGUGCCAAAGGCCACCCACCAAAGGAAAAGAAACUCCCAAGAUUCAUGACAUAUCUCCAUCUCUAUCUGCACUCUAUCUGCAACUAUCUAUGUGCCUACUAGACUCUACCUGCAUCUGACAGCUUAAUUUUCUGAGUACCAUUUUGGCAGCAAACUGAAAUUCCUCCCUUCCCAUGUUCUGGGAAGAGCAACUACCCCCACACGGCACGAGGGGGAAAGCUGGAGGGGGGCACUGGGAAGGGCUCAGUAGCCAUCCUGCUGCACAGUGAAGACUGCUCUUCAGCUAGGGCCCGUGUCAGACCCCAUGAGCUCACACUUAGCAUUCAGUGUUGUUCUUCUGCUCAGGACAGGACCUUCUGGUGGCUGUGUCUGCAGGAUGGUCCCAAUUUCCACCACUGUGGCAGUGCCUAGUACCUUUGGUGCUGCUGGUCUUAGUAAGGCCCACGCUGAGGAUCCCUAAGCAUGCUGCAGAACCAGUCCUGAAGAUCUCCAGAGUCUCCUCUCUCCAUCCCCGCUGGCCAGACCACAGCCAAGGAUGUGAAGACACCCCACCAAAGCAGCAGGCAGCGGUAGGGUUGGUUCAGAUACCUGCACUGAGGGACAUGAGAGGAUCUGUGACCACAUAGCAAGGGAGGUCAGUCCAAGAUUAGCUGGGCACUGGGGCUCAAGCUGGGUUGGGAGGACAUCUUUACAAGGGUAGGCAGCAGCCUGGCAGGAGCGACGAAAUGCAUUUUCU